AGCGAGAGGGGCGGCGGCAGGGGGGGGGGUUCCGCCUCUUCUCCUUCAGUAUUAAUGUCGCAUCGACGGAACUGAGGCUCCCUGAUUAAUCUUGCUCACAUACCUACAAAGGCACGCACGUUAGGGCGCGUGGACCAGUCAGACGGCCGUGCUGCCGUUGCCGCCGCCGCCGCCGCCGCUCUUGGCGCGCACACGGAUCGCACACGCCGCCGCCACCGCCGCUGAAGUGCUUCCUUCUCCCACAUCCCAGGAUUAGCCGCCUGCGCCGCCGCCUCUGCCUCUCUCUUGCAUCCUCCCCCCCCUCGUCAUGUUUUGACUUCUGCCUUGCCUUGGGUGCUUCUGGGCUCCGAUUUGCUUGCCUGCUUCUCGUCUCCACGGGGAAGGGGCCGAAAGAAAGAGAAUUAAUGGAUUAAUAAAUGAAUUUACUUAUACAGAAAAGAAACCCAUGAUGCUAGUGUAAGAUAACAUAAGUAUUUGAAACAACUCAUGAUCAGUGGACUUCUAAGCUGUGUGGAUGCAGGUGAGGGGGUCAAAGAGAUGGAGCCAGAGGAGGUCAAAGGGGCAGAGUCAGAGGGGUCAAAGACACAGAACCAAACACCAUGUGAACAA
rnacentral:lncRNA from 1 species